CUUAAAGGGACAGUAGCGCCAGCAGGCAGCCGGCGGAGCCCUUCGCUCCGGGCGGCCGGGGCUCUGCUCCCCGGGUCACCGCGCGGGGCGCCCAGGCCCGGGGCUGCAGAGGCAGCAGCAGCCAGUCCCGAGCGCGCCCCGCCCGCCCCGGCACGUGGCCGGGCGUGAAAUCCCAGCGGGAUCCCGCGCUGAGGUAACAGUCCCGGGGGGCUCGCCGCGCUCCCCUCCCGUGGAUUUUGCAGCAUCCCGGGGCGAUGUCACCCUCGUCUCCUGAUUUGCCCCAUGGGCUCUGACAAGCACGAUGCCAAAACCAGGGCACUGCUGCGACGAUGUCCCAGCAUGUGACUGGCACCACCUUGGUUUCUUCUGUCCCCUGUUUCUGAAAUCUUAAUGCCACUGAUAACAGCAGUGCUGCCACCCUGUCCUCCGACACAGACUGAGGAGGUGACAGGUCCCAGUCCUCCGCACGUGCUCAACUUUAAGCAUUUUGGUCUAGAUGACAUCGACAUGAUGAUGCCUCCAAGCAUUUCCAUUGUUUGAAAUUCACUGCUUGACUUGCCAGCUGGAUCAUGAUGUCACAAAUGUUGUAUUUGUACUGACCAAUCAAUAAGCAGCUAAGCAGCACAAAAUGCAAACAUCAGGGAAGCUUCAUGUUAAAGUUCUAGCUGCGCUAUAAUUGACUGUGCUAGCAAUCCCCAGACUUGGACAGACAUGGCUGUAAUCUAGAACAGUUUUCAUGACCAGUGUGGACACUUUUUUUUUUUUUAGAACUACUGUAUUAUAUAGAUCACCAACAUAGGCACCCCAAAUAGUCUGUAGUAUAAUUUUAUAAAGAUGGUCCUCAGAGGGAAAAUCCCAGUGCGCACUGGUCAGGAAAACUGCACAGAAGCAAAAUUUACCAUGCUCAAGUCAGGGGAACUGGACAAUCUCCAUCCCAGAAUACCCAGAAUAUGAAAAGAGCUGGCACAUGAAACUGCAAGUCUAAUAGUAAUGAUUUUUAAUAAAUCUGUCAAAUCAGGGAUGGUACUGUAUGACUGGAGAAUAGCAAACAUUGUACCUAUAUUUUAAAAAGGGGUAAGAUUGAUUCAGGCAACUGCUGAUGCAUCAGUCUGACCUCAGUGCAAGGCAUUUGAACAAA